ensembl:snRNA U6 U6 spliceosomal RNA
GUGCUCGCUUUGGCAGCAGAUAUACUAAAAUUGGAACAAUACAGAGAAGAUAAGUAUGGCCCCUGCGCAAGGGUGACACACAAAUUCGUGCAGUGUUCCAUGUUUUU